rnacentral:rRNA from 1 species
UACAGAGGGUGCAAGCAUUGUCCGGAUUUAUUGGGCGUAAAGCGUUUCGUAGGCGGAUUUGCAAGUUAUUUUUCAAAUACCAAGGCUCAACCUUGGAAAGGGGGAUAAUACUACAAGUCUUGAAUUGUAUCGGGGUUUUCGGAACUUGCGGUGUAGGGGUGAAAUCCGUUGAUAUCGCAAGGAACACCAAGGGCGAAGGCAGAAAACUAGGUACUAAUUGACGCUGAGGAACGACAGCUAGGGGAGCGAAAGG